ensembl:snoRNA SNORD18 Small nucleolar RNA SNORD18
AAGCUGUGAUGAGGUUCCACUUCAGGUCCGUGUUUCUGAAUCCUGAUUUCUAAUGGAAGUCCUGAGCAU